rnacentral:rRNA from 1 species
CCUACGGGUGACAGCAGUGAGGAAUAUUGGUCAAUGGACGAGAGUCUGAACCAGCCAAGUAGCGUGAAGGAUGACUGCCCUAUGGGUUGUAAACUUCUUUUAUAUGGGAAUAAAACGUUCCACGUGUGGGAUUUUGUAUGUACCAUAUGAAUAAGGAUCGGCUAACUCCGUGCCAGCAGCCGCGGUAAUACGGAGGAUCCGAGCGUUAUCCGGAUUUAUUGGGUUUAAAGGGAGCGUAGGUGGAUUGUUAAGUCAGUGGUGAAAGUUUGCGGAUCAACCGUAAAAUUGCAGUUGAAACUGGCAGUCUUGAGUGCAGUAGAGGUGGGCGGAAUUCGUGGUGUAGCGGUGAAAUGCUUAGAUAUCACGAAGAACUCCGAUUGCGAAGGCAGUUCACUGGACUGCAACUGACACUGAGGCUCGAAAGUGUGGGUAUCAAACAGGAUUAGAUACCCCAGUAGUC